rnacentral:ncRNA from 2 species
GUAGCCUUGCUGAUUCGAGGUUCUCCCCGGGUAAAACAUCACCCAGUGGAGCUAAGACGGGAAUGCGGUACAAGCCGCAGCUGCCCCCGAAACUGUAAACGGUCAUGUUCAUUGCACAGCCACUGCUGCGGCGGGAAGGCGCGAUGAAUGCGUGUCGGCGCUUUUCACUGACUGCCGCACGCCGCCGUGAGCCAGGAGACCUGCCUCGAACGGGCCACACAU